GCGGGGAUUCCAGAGCGGCCAAAUGGGCAGGAUUUAAGCUCCUGUGGCUUAGUGCCUUCGCGGGUUCGAAUCCCUCUCCCCGCA
rnacentral:tRNA from 1 species